UACGUAGGCAGCGAGCGUUGUUCGGAAUUACUGGGCGUAAAGCGCACGUAGGCGGACUGGAAAGUUGGGGGUGAAAGCCCAGGGCUCAACCCUGGAACUGCCUUCAAAACUCCCAGUCUUGAGGUCGAGAGAGGUGAGUGGAAUUCCGAGUGUAGAGGUGAAAUUCGUAGAUAUUCGGAGGAACACCAGUGGCGAAGGCGGCUCACUGGCUCGAUACUGACGCUGAGGUGCGAAAGCGUGGGGAGCAAACAGG
rnacentral:rRNA from 1 species